rnacentral:rRNA from 1 species
UUGGUAUCUUAGUGGCGGACGGGUGAGUAACGCGUGGGUAACCUGCCUUACACUGGGGGAUAACACUUAGAAAUAGGUGCUAGUACCGCAUAACAGAGGGAGUCGCAUGACUUCGUCUUAAAAACUCCGGUGGUGUAAGAUGGACCCGCGUCUGAUUAGCUGGUUGGCGGGGUAGCGGCCCACCAAGGCGACGAUCAGUAGCCGGCCUGAGAGGGUGAACGGCCACAUUGGGACUGAGACACGGCCCAAACUCCUACGGAAGGCAGCAG